AUUUUGCCUUAAGGAUUGAAGCUGAAAUCCUUUUUUUCUUCGCCUUUUCGGUGAUGGAAAAAAGAUUGUAGCGCAAAGUCUGACCCGCC
rnacentral:sRNA from 1 species